rnacentral:rRNA from 1 species
UAGGGAAUUUUCGGCAAUGGGGGAACCCUGACCGAGCAACGCCGCGUGAAGGAAGAAGGAAUUCGUUCUGUAAACUUCUGUUAUAAAGGAAGAAAGACGGAUGGAGGAAAUGACAUCCGAGUGACGGUACUUUAUGAGAAAGCCACGGCUAACUACGUGCC